rnacentral:rRNA from 1 species
GACGAACGCUGGCGGCGUGCCUAACACAUGCAAGUCGAACGGUGAAGCGAGUGCUUGCACUCGUGGAUCAGUGGCGAACGGGUGAGUAACACGUGAGUAACCUGCCCAUCACUCUGGGAUAAGCACUGGAAACGGUGUCUAAUACUGGAUACGACCAACCCUUGCAUGGGGUGUUGGUGGAAAGAUUUAUCGGUGAUGGAUGGACUCGCGGCCUAUCAGCUUGUUGGCGGGGUAAUGGCCCACCAAGGCGACGACGGGUAGCCGGCCUGCGAGGGUGACCGGCCACACUGGGACUGAGAAACGGCCCAGACUCAUACGGGAGGCAGCAGUGGGGAAUAUUGCACAAUGGGCGACAGCCUGAUGCAGCGACGCCGCGUGAGGGAUGACGGCCUUCGGGUUGUAAACCUCUUUCAGCAGGAAAGAAGCGAAAGUGACGGUACCUGCAGAAGAAGCACCGGCUAACUACGUG